UGCUGGCUGAUCUGGGGGGCUUGCAGCUCCUGAGUGCAUUGCUGGAGAGUGGGAGGGUGGGGAUGGCCCCUGCAAACAGUGCUUCCCUCCCGAGCCAGCCGUGUCUCAGGUUUCCUUUCUUUUUGCUCGAAGAAGCAGAGCAUCUCCUGAUGAAGGUCACAGCUUUGAUCCCCACGGCUCGCUCUCCUGUUUAUGGAUGGCCAUUAUUAGUAACACAGGGUAGUGCAUGCACUGCUCCGUGCCUGCCCUUGUCUGACUGCAAGGGAGCAGGGGCAGGAUAACAAAAGAAAGUAUAAAUAGAGCCUUUUUAAUAGCCUGUUAAAUAGGAAGAGACUUUUAGGGAGGAGAGAGAAAGAAUGAGGCGUGUUACCAUAGGAACUGCCAAUAGUUUAUUUAAGAAGGGCAAAGAAACAAACACCACAAAAAGAUGAAGCCAAGAGGACUUGCGGAUUACUGAAGGAAUAUGUCAGAAUACAGACAGGAAGAACCAGGAAACCUCUCACUGGGUCAGGAGCAAAUAUUGAAGAGUGAGGGUUCUUCCAGCUGUGAUGGACAAUGAUGCUGUCUGUCUUCCUUAUCCCAGAAGAUGUAUUCUGCCUGAAGACCACCUUGUGCUGAAUGCUGCACAUUCAUAGGACAGAAAGAUACUUUCUGGUCUGAUGAGAACACAACACCAGGAAAGAGCAGCAGAUAGAAGAGCAGGUGUGAUGAUACUUGGAAAAAAUGCAACGAGACUGUCCCACUCUUGGUUUCAGAAGCCCAAAGACCAGAAGCAACUCAAAAGUUUCUGCAGCUGAGGUCUCUCUUGCUGUUUUGUUUUUAAUAUUUUAGUUUCUAAAUCAGUGUAAGGAUUUUCUAGUUCCCGACUCGUAAUUUUGAAAACUUCAGGUCUGGUACUACUGGAAGAGUUCAAAUGACGGACAAGCUACAAAGAGAGAACAAGUGUCUCUGAGAGGAGAGCUAAGAAUUGCAAAAGUUGUUAUUUCUUUUAAGAACUGCACGAACAACUUUAUCAGAGAGAGAGAAACAGUUGCAUAAGCCUCUCUGCAGUACAGGAAGGACACUGGAACUCCUAUCCUUUUUUGGCUUCUUGGUACCAUGUAAAGCAAAUUCUGUAUUUGCACAACAGGAGAAUUUCUGUUGAGUUUCUAUCAAGAGGCCCCUUCCUCUUGCUGAAAAGGAGGCAGAUUUUUUUAAAGCUGUGGAGUGUGAGCCGAAAGCCCUAUUUCUCCUUAGAGUAAUCAUAGAAGCAUAGAAUGAUUUGAGCUGCAAGGGUCCCUAAAGAUUAUAUGGUUCAAACCCCUCUGCCAGGGGCAGGGACACCUUCCACUAGACCAGGUUAUUCAAAGCCCCAUCCAACCUGGUCUUGAACACUUCCAAAUCUGAAAGUUUGUUCUCACUUUAUUUCUCCAACACCUCUUUGCUCACUGAGUGCAUUGCAGCAGCAGCACCACAGCAGCAGCACCACAUUACUGAUCCCCUGGAUGAGGUCUGAGGCACAGCUUGAAGGGCUGAUGCUUCUGUGAGCCCAUUAACACAAACAUGUUUGGCAGGGGAUGGAAAUGAAUUAAUCAAAAAAAUGCCUUACGUUACCUAACUCAGGCCAGUUUUUGUGCAAUGGCAAACCUAUGGGUGGCAUAUUUAUUUUUAGGCUUUGAGCUAAAUUCUCUUCAUUUUCUCCCUCAAAGCAAGAGGGGAAUUAGAACCCAACUGCUCCACUUUCUACAUUUCCCUGACCCUAUGGAGAGUUAUCCCAUAUGCCCACCCAUGCAUGAGAAAUUCAGGGUGAGCAUUUUCGGAAGGUUUCACACAGCCUUUGAUGUCUCCCAGCCUGGGAAAUUUGUCCUCCUCCUGCUUCCCAGCUUGGAAGGUCUCACUGUGGUAUCUGCAAGAGAUAACGUUCCCUUUCGCAGUCUGCACUCCGGGUCAGUCUGACUGUUUGCUGUGGGACUGCAAAAGGGAUAUUUCCCUCCAGAUAUUGCUGAAGGGCCCUCUUGGAGAGGCUGGCCAGCCUGCAGAGCUGGGCAGUCCACGCCACUCCUCCCUUCUCACAGAGGUUGAGUUAUGCCAGGCUUUGACCUAAGUGAAACUGCUGACGGUCACAGGGAUUUGACUAAUCUCCUUAGGUCGCUGCGAAAUUUGUGAUUCCUUUUAGGGAAUAGAACUUUUUUUAUGAUUUUCUUUUUUUUUUUCCCUUUGGGCUAACUUGCAAUGUAAAAAUAAACUGGAGCCCACGGUGGGAGAUUGAUUUCCUCCCGAGCUCAGGAAGGGCAGUCAGUCAAUGCAAGAUCCUCCUGGCCCAUCCCAGGAGGAUGCUGCUCCUGGAUUCAUUCCUGGAGACAGCUGCUGUCCGACCUUGCCAUAAGACUUCCUUCCCCUGUGCUCUCCUCCUGGCCCUGCCAUAGCCCUGUGGGGUCUGAGUGCAGCCCCUGGGCACAGCCCAAGACAUUUCCUUCCCUCCUGGCUCUGCUCUGCCUCAGAGCCCUCAACUAGCAAUACUUCUGGGUGGGGCUGGGGAGCUGAAAUAAUAAAAUCCUGAUUUCUAACCAUAUUUGACUUAUUCCUAGUGGAGGGAGAGCCCACAUAUCCACAGGUAUCCAACAUUCAGGGGCUUGUGAGUAAUUUUGUCUCCAUUUUCAUGGCUCAGAGAGCUUCUUUGCAGCCUCCUCCCAGGGUAGUUGUGUCCCUUCUGUGCAGAAACCCCCAUUCCUGUGGUUUUCCCAUCAGACCUGCUCCCAGCAUGCUCCUGAGCUUUCCACAACUUGGGAGGGUUUGCCUCAUGCCCAUGAUAUAUCUCCUACUUGAUCAGCAUUAGCCCCUUUCCUGGUGCUCUGAUCCUUCUGGACCCAAAUUACAUUUAAGGUCAAUUUCUUUAUAAAUUCCUCUUCUUCCUGAGAAGAGUUGCAGUUUGGCAUUGUGCUCUUGUACCCAAACCUCUGCAGAAACCCUAGACCUUUGUGGAGGUUUGUGCAUGGGUGACAAAGAAACCUCCACAAACUGCUCAAUGCAUAUGGGGGUUGCUGCACAAGGCUUGUAUUAGUCAAAUAAUUAAGAACUGGUUGCUCACAGAAAUGCCAGAGCCUGGUUCAUUUUUUUUGCUGUGCUCCAGGGGUUCCUGUUUCUGGACAUUCCCAUGAAUUAAACUGAGUGAGCUGGCAGGGAAGAAACAGUCUCUGAAUGUUGGCAUGAAAAGCCCCACCACAAAUUCAGCUGUCAUUGUCCUUCUGCUUUGAAAGUUUUAAGCCCUUAAAUUAGGGAGAAAUGACAAUACUCUGAGUGGGAUUCCUUUGCUCUUAUUUUGGCAUAUAGAGUUGAGAUGUCUGGCUUUGGAUGAACUAGUCACCGUUGGCUCCCUUUGUUGCCAAUGCAGAAAAAUAGGAAGAACCAGAGUGUGAUUCAAUCUACAAUAGUGUCUGAGAGAGGUCAGAUGAAUCACAGACUGUGAAGGAAGCUGAAUCUGUGUGGCCAGACAUAAGAUUCUACAUUUUAGAGGUCUAAAUUUAAGUGGAAUGAAUUCUACUCCUGUGACUCAGGUGCUGCAAUGACAAACUGGCCAUGCUGAGUAAUGCAGCUCUGAUUUCGUGACUUACUUUCACCUCUGCCUCUUUUCCUUGCCUGGGUAAAGGUGUAACACUGUGCUGUUGAUUCAUUUCUUGGCCCUCAGCGGCAGGACUGUGCCAGGUAACAUCUAGGUGGGCACAGGGCAUGUGCUUUGUCUUCUGGGGCUGCAACCACGUGGCCUUACCUCGUGCCUCCAGGUUGGUACAUAUCUGUUCUCUAAGACAAGGCAUCUCUGAAUAAUAAAAUUGCUGAAGCAUAAAGUCACAGGCAAGGUCUGAAGAGCUCAAGACUGCCACGCUGAGAGGUCAAGAACAGGCUGAGGGCUCAUGGUGUCUGGGGAAGCUGGGGAGAGGGCCUGGGAUAAGGGCAAGGAGGCAAAUGUGGUAGGGGUG